rnacentral:rRNA from 1 species
UACGGGGGGGGCAAGCGUUGUUCGGAAUUACUGGGCGUAAAGGGCUCGUAGGCGGCCAACUAAGUCGGACGUGAAAUCCCCAGGCUCAACCUGGGAACUGCGUCCGAUACUGGAUGGCUUGAAUCCGGGAGAGGGAUGCAGAAUUCCAGGUGUAGCGGUGAAAUGCGUAGAUAUCUGGAGGAAUACCGGUGGCGAAGGCGGCAUCCUGGACCGAGAUUGACGCUGAGGCGCGAAAGCCAGGGGAGCAAACGGG